rnacentral:rRNA from 1 species
GACGAACUGUCCAAACGUUGUUCGGAAUCACUGGGCUUAAAGGGCGCGUAGGCGGUCGAUCAAGUCAGGGGUGAAAUCCUGCAGCUUAACUGUAGAAGUGCCUUUGAUACUGGUCGUCUCGAGGGAGGUAGGGGUGUGUGGAACUUCCAGUGGAGCGGUGAAAUGCGUUGAUAUUGGAAGGAAUACCGGUGGCGAAAGCGACUCUCUGGACGGCAACUGACGCUGAGGCACGAAAGCGUGGGGAGCAAACAGG